UACGUAGGGUGCGAGCGUUGUCCGGAAUUACUGGGCGUAAAGAGCUCGUAGGUGGUUUGUCGCGUUGUCCGUGAAAACUCACAACUCAAUUGUGGGCGUGCGGGCGAUACGGGCAGACUGGAGUACUGCAGGGGAGACUGGAAUUCCUGGUGUAGCGGUGGAAUGCGCAGAUAUCAGGAGGAACACCGGUGGCGAAGGCGGCGACCUGGGUAGAUACUGACGCUGAGGCGCGAAAGCGUGGGGAGCAAACAGG
rnacentral:rRNA from 1 species